UUUACAUAUAUGUCUUACGUAAUGUUCGUUUGAGGGUUUUAUACUGUUUAAGUAAUUUUGGGAGAGUGGAUUUUGGUACGUGGACGCGUUCGUUUUAGAUGAAUUGGAGGGAUAUGCGAGAGGAGAUUUAGGGGAUGGAUGGAUUAUCCCAUCCCCUCAGAAGUGCGAGGAUAUGCGAUUAUACUGCAUAUGUUUUGUAUAGAUUACGAAACUACCCUUCAGUUGUUUCCCGUUUCCAAAACCAUGUGCACAUAUUCUUCCUCUAACUUCCUCUGCCAAGAUUCCUGAAAAUAUUCCUGAGUCCUUCCUCCAUUCUUUCUUUUCGAAGCUCAUUUUAAAACGAUGGAAGCUGUGAAUGUGAAUGUAGUGUGCUUGUGACCCGUAGUAGUGUGCUUGUGAAUGUCAUCCGCUGGUGUUUUGAGAGGUGGAGUAGUUGGUUGAAGUCGCCGGAGUUUUCGGAGGAGCUGUGUGUCUCCAUUGCCGGUGAAGGUGGUCGGCCGGAGCUGAUGGUUUCUUCGCCGGAGUGAGUUAUUUUUUGCCUGUUUGGUUUGUUUGCAGGGUGGAGGUGUUGCGGAGUUGCAGGUUGCGAGUUGUCGGAGUCGUGGGCCUCCAUAGCUGGUGCAGGAUAUCAAUGAUGCAGAAAAAAAGUUGAAGACAUGUAAGAUUUGCAUUUUAUCUAAUUAAAAGUUCUCCGCACAAAGGCCAAAGUGCAGGUUGAUUAGAAGGCUUUUGUGACUGUGUAUUUUUGUUCUAGUUAAACUAAGACAUUCAUAAAUAUAUAGUAUAAUUUUAUGAUUCA